rnacentral:tRNA from 1 species
CCCUCGAUAGCUCAGUUGGCAGAGCGGAGGACUAGAUGUUACAACGGUGAUCCUUAAGGUCGCUGGUUCAAAUCCGGCUCGAGGGA